UUUCAUUCGUAUCUUUCCACUGUUGCAUUGUCUUGUCAUUACCGACUCGUCUCCAUUGGGCUGACCACUGAUCCACACCAGUAAUUGCCGUCUACUCUGUCCAUGCAAAUCUCUUACACAUAAAAGUUGGGGCCAAUUCAGUUCAACUUAAUAGGCUGAAUCAUGAAGAAAUGUAUGGUCUUCCUCCAAGAACAUGAUAGAAUGGUGAAACUGAAAAUAAUUAUAUUGUAGGUCAGCAGGAGUACUCAUCGCGACAGGCUGGCGUCACAGCAGGCAUAGUGCUGGCUGUCCUUGUGCCCAUUUUACUAGGACUUAUCUGUGUAGCAUACCAGCUGCUGGUACGAAGAAAGAAAGAGGAAAAGUAUGAUGUUCGAGAUGGUUACGCAGUCAAGAUAGAACCACAACUAACUAAACUUCAGGAACUAGACAAUGAUGAACUGACGGCACUGAAGAGGCGUGAAACUGCAGUAAACUAAAUUGUGUAAGAAUAUUACAAAACUUAAUGAUUUGUUUCCUUGGCGAUAGCCAAGGGAACAAAUUGUGAAUUAACAACAAGGGAAAUGUAGAUUGAAUUCAUUACUUAAGAUUGGGUUCCGCUGUUUGGAACUAUACUGUUAAAUAGUCGGCCAGUAUUAUGGUAGAAAUAUUUUUUCAUAUUGUGGAUCUUUGUAUGAUUUUUCUUAUUUAUUUCUUACUGCUCAUUGUUAAAUGACUUACGUAAUUAUCUUAAUUCUGAUGUUUGUAAAAUUUUGAAGUUUUACUGAAACAUUCUAUAUGGCGACUGUUUAAGCAUCUAAAAUUGCGGAGUUUCUCAUGGAGCAGAGGCCUUCUUGAGAAGCUAAUAAUAACUCACCUAUUAAGAACA